GGAUUGCUCACAAACACAGAAAUCGGCACUCCGACCCAACGCAAACCUGACAAUCGUUUGCAGUGGAGAUAGCGGCAGCGGAUAACCAUUUGCGGGAAGUCAGCAGAAGUCAUCACUGGCUCUAUGGAGAAGAAGAGUAAAGAGAACAUCUAAAAUCAAAGAAGACACCACCUCCUUUUGUAAAGCACCUGGAAACAAACAUGGCAAUUGUUACGAGCAAGGUAAAGCACACAUUUUAAUGGCAACAUGUAGGAAAAAUCCUGAAAGCUGCUAUUGUUCAAGAAACAGUAAU